rnacentral:sRNA from 1 species
CCGAUUUCAUCCAAACUUACGGCCGCGC